rnacentral:rRNA from 1 species
UACGAAGGGGGCUAGCGUUGCUCGGAAUCACUGGGCGUAAAGGGUGCGUAGGCGGGUCUUUAAGUCAGGGGUGAAAUCCUGGAGCUCAACUCCAGAACUGCCGUUGAUACUGAGGAUCUUGAGUUCGGGAGAGGAGAGUGGAACUGCGAGUGUAGAGGUGAAAUUCGUAGAUAUUCGCAAGAACACCAGUGGCGAAGGCGGCUCACUGGCACGAUACUGACGCUGAGACGCGAAAGCGUGGGGAGCAAACAGG